rnacentral:tRNA from 1 species
GCAUUGGUGGUUCAAUGGUAGAAUUUUUGCCUCCCAUGCUGGAGACCCAGGUUUGAUUCCCAGCCAGUGUA